GGGAAAACACAGACUUUAGCUUUCUCGGCAGGAAAAUUUGAAGAGAACUUAAAUUGAAAGAAACAAGUAUAAGGAUGCAUAUUAGCUUGGAAGUGAUCACAAGAAGUUUGAAAUUUUUUUAUACGCUACGAAUUUGAAGGACCUUAAUAUAUAUUUCAUGUCUCAUCAGUGGCAAAUAGCAUAAAAAUAUCUGUCCAUAAACUAUGACACCUAGGAAGAAAUGGACAUUUCAAAAGAGCACUUUUUUAUUCAACAGCUUAUCUUUCUUAAAUUAGAGUAGUCCUGUCCGCUCAUUUCCCACAGGAAAAGAGCAAACUAAAGCCUACAUCGUUACCUCAGGAC
rnacentral:misc_RNA from 1 species